AUUGAACGCUGGCGGCAGGCCUAACACAUGCAAGUCGAGCGGAGUGGCGGACGGGUGAGUAAUGCCUACGAAUCUGCCCGGUCGUGGGGGAUAACGUCCGUUAACGGGCGCUGAUACCGCAUACUAUUUGAUGAGCCUAGGUCGGAUUAGCUAGUUGGGGGGGUAAAGGCCUACAAGGGCGACGAUCCGUAACUGGUCUGAGAGGCUGAUCAGUCACACUGGAACUGAGACACGGUCCAGACUCCUACGGGAGGCAGCAGUGGGGAAUAUUGGACAAUGGGCGAAAGCCUGAUCCAGCCAUGCCGCGUGUGUGAAGAAGGUCUUCGGAUUGUAAAGCACUUUAAGUUGGGAGGCGUUACCAACAGAAUAAGCACCGGCUAACUUCGUGCCAGCAGCCGCGGUAAUAC
rnacentral:rRNA from 1 species